rnacentral:rRNA from 1 species
GAUGAACGCUGGCGGCGUGCCUAAUACAUGCAAGUCGAGCGAAUGGAUUAAGAGCUUGCUCUUAUGAAGUUAGCGGCGGACGGGUGAGUAACACGUGGGUAACCUGCCCAUAAGACUGGGAUAACUCCGGGAAACCGGGGCUAAUACCGGAUAACAUUUUGAACCGCAUGGUUCGAAAUUGAAAGGCGGCUUCGGCUGUCACUUAUGGAUGGACCCGCGUCGCAUUAGCUAGUUGGUGAGGUAACGGCUCACCAAGGCAACGAUGCGUAGCCGACCUGAGGGGGUCAUCGGCCAACCUGGGACUGAGACACGGCCCAGACUCCUACGGGAGGCAGCAGUAGGGAAUCUUCCGCAAUGGACGAAAGUCUGACGGAGCAACGCCGCGUGAGUGAUGAAGGCUUUCGGGUCGUAAAACUCUGUUGUUAGGGAAGAACAAGUGCUAGUUGAAUAAGCUGGCACCUUGACGGUACCUAACCAGAAAGCCACGGCUAACUACGUGCCAGCCGCCGCGGUAA